rnacentral:rRNA from 1 species
GACGAACCGUGCAAACGUUAUUCGGAAUCACUGGGCUUAAAGCGCGUGUAGGCGGGACGGCACGUCGGUCGCUGAAAUCCCCCGGCUCAACCGGGGAAUGGGCGCCGAUACGACCGUCCUGGAGGAACGUAGGGGGACCUGGAACUUCCGGUGGAGCGGUGAAAUGCGUUGAGAUCGGAAGGAACGCCCGUGGCGAAAGCGAGGUCCUGGACGUUUUCUGACGCUGAGACGGCGAAAGCCAGGGGAGCCGAACGGG